rnacentral:rRNA from 1 species
CAAUAGCAUAUAUUAACGUUGUUGCAGUUGAAAAGCUCGUAGUUGAACUUUUGGUAGGAGCGACCUGGCCUUGGGCGCAUGCCCUUGUUUGCCGUGUGUCGUGUCUGGCCAUCCUUUUCCGUUUCGGCGGGAAUCUUUUACUGUGAGUAAACUGGAGUGCUCAAAACAAGACGUUUGUUUGGUACAUUAAAGCAUGGAAUAAUAAGAUAGGGCCUGGUUACUAUUUUGUUGGUUUGCAUCUAGGUAAUGAUUAACAGGGACAGUUGGGGGUAUUCGUAUUUAAUUGUCAGAGGUGAAAUUCUUGGAUUUAUGAAAGACGAACGACUGCGAAAGCAUUUACCAAGGAUGUUUUCAUUAA